AAGAGACUCACAUAUCUGUAGAAGAGCUUUCCUAAAACGAAGUAUAACAGAGCAGAGAUCAGAAGAGAAAUCAGUCCAUCUACUAUCAGGUCAUGCAGAUGGACCAGAAGCUAGAUGACAUCCUGACCGCGCUCCAGGCUCAGUUUGGGGAUCAGCCACAGGCACAGAUGUCAGGGCAGCCGCUCCACCUGUCAGACAGCUACAGACAGCCUCAGAUUCCUCCCCACUGAACCGGAAAAUUUAAGAGCCGGAGGACAGCCACAUGCCACCCCCUCAUUCUUUUACAUC
rnacentral:lncRNA from 1 species